UGGGGUAGCUCAGUCGGUAGAGCAUUUCCAUGGUAAGGAAAAGGUCGUGGGUUCGAUUCCCACUCCC
rnacentral:tRNA from 1 species